UACGAAGGAUGCAAGCGUUAUCCGGAUUUAUUGGGUUUAAAGGGAGCGUAGGCGGUCUUAUAAGUCAGUGGUGAAAUCCUAUCGCUUAACGAUAGACGUGCCAUUGAUACUGUAGGACUUGAGUACAGAUGCCGUUGGCGGAAUGUGUCAUGUAGCGGUGAAAUGCAUAGAUAUGACACAGAACACCGAUUGCGAAGGCAGCUGACGAAACUGUAACUGACGCUGAGGCUCGAAAGCGUGGGGAUCAAGCAGG
rnacentral:rRNA from 1 species